AUAGCGGUUCUGGCCCUGGAAGCUGUGGCCAGAGCCACAGCCCCCACUGCCCUCCAGGGUCUGCAGGGACUCCGUGGCUGCUGACCUCUGCCUCUGUCUUGCAGGGUGAUGGGAGCGCUGACUACGAGGAGCUCUGGUGCCUCACAAUAGCCCCAGGCUCUGCGGGCCAGCAGAAGGAGCCCCCUUCUGACGGGCACCCACCCGCUGAUGGCCGUGCCAUGCCCGUGGGCACUGCUGCUGCCAUCCUCAAGCGCAUGCAGCUGCAGAAGCCCCAGAGAUGCCAGAAGUCACCACCCAGCAUGGAGGACGAGGGGGCCGAACUGUGCCUGGGUGAAGGGGAGCCGGCUCGGCGGGCCAUCCCACGCCUCUACCCCUCUAUUCGCCUGGCCAUGCGGGAGAUCCGCCGGCUCUCGUCCGGGCCCUCCGAUAGCACCUGGGCUGAGCUGUUGUCCAGCCCCCAGCACUGAGGGUGGCUGGGCCCUGGCAGGAGCAGCGAGGCAGACCCUGGUCAGCCCAUACUCCGGCAUUGCAGGGCUACAUGCCAGGUAGAGACACCAGGAAGAUGCAGCCUCUUCUGUGGGGAUGGGCCAGUGCCGUGCCUCUGAUCGAGCCAGGGAGAAGAGCUCUGCGGCCAGGCGGGCCUGCUGCCGUUGGGAUGCUGCGUGCAUCUGCAACCCAUUAGGGAGGAGGAGACGGCAAGAGCUGAAGGCCUGGGGCAGCCCUGGGGAGGGGAGAGAAUUUGUGCCCUGCCCCUCCCUGCAUGGGAUGUGCCCUCACAAUUAGAGCCUGCGUUGUCAGCCCCUGCCCUCCUUGUCCUGUCUGUGCCUCAUUGGGGCGGGUGUGGGACGAAGCAGGAUGACGUGCCCGUCUCCCAGCUGCACAGUGUCGCCUGAGGCAGGGGUCCGAGGGGCUGGGCAGCUCCCUCAUCUCCAGCUCCCGCGCACUUCACCUGCUGACGGUGACGAGAUUCUGUGGCUCAGCCGCUCUCUGCCCGUGGACACUGUGGGGUGGGGGCCUGGCCCUUGGGGCUGCCUGAGACCAGAGCCCACGCAGCAGCAGUGAUCGAUGGCUGGGGCCAAGGUUUGUGCUGGUGGCACCGUGGAGACCAUGUCCUGUUGCUGAGAGGGGCCAGGCUCUCUGCACACUGUUGUGGGGCUGGAGCCCACAGCCACAACCAAGCUGCUCUUCUGGUUCCUGGCAGGGCCAUGGCUGCCUGUGCAUACUCCGCUGCUCCUGCAAGCACUGCUGUUCCCUGUGGCCACCGUCCUGGCCUGUGGCUCUUGGGCCCUGGAGUGACCACUCUCAUCCCAGCUGCUAAGAGGCUGCUGGUCACUUUGUGGGGAA